CCUACGGGAGGCAGCAGUGGGGAAUAUUGGGCAAUGGGCGAAAGCCUGAAGCAGCGAAGUCGCGUGAGGGAUGAAGGCCCUCGGAGUGGUAAACUUCGUUUGUAAGGAAGCAAGGUCACUGUCGUAAGCAGCUGUGAAUUGACGGUAUCUGCAAAGCAAGGACCGGCUAACUCCGUGCAAGCAGCUGCGGUAGUAGGGAGGGUGCGAGCGUUGAUCGGAUUUAUUGGGGGUAAAGGGGGCGUAGGUGGUAUGUCAAGUGAAGGGUGAAAUGCCCGGGCUCAACGGGUGAAGUGCCUUUGAAACUGGCAAUCUUGAGUGCGUGAGAGGUAAGCGGAAUUCGUGGUGUAGCGGUGAAAUGCAUAGAUAUCACGAAGAACACCGAUGGCGAAGGCAGCUUACUGGCCCGCAACUGACGCUGAGGAGCGAAAGUGUGGGUAGCAAACAGGAUUAGAUACCCCUGUAGUC
rnacentral:rRNA from 1 species